GCAAGCGUUGUUCGGAAUUACUGGGCGUAAAGGGCGCGUAGGCGGCCCGCUAAGUCGAACGUGAAAUCCCUGGGCUCAACCCAGGAACUGCGUCCGAUACUGGCAGGCUUGAAUCCGGGAGAGGGAUGCGGAAUUCCAGGUGUAGCGGUGAAAUGCGUAGAUAUCUGGAGGAACACCGGUGGCGAAGGCGGCAUCCUGGACCGGCAUUGACGCUGAGGCGCGAAAGCCAGGGGAGCAAACAGG
rnacentral:rRNA from 1 species